UAAUAGGGUUCAGUUGGUGUGCAGAGAGAAGAUUAUCAAAGAGAACAAAACCCAAUUAAUGAAGAUGAGGAUGAUUCCAAAGGAAGUCCAAGAAUACUUUUGCACCACCUCUUUGUGGUAGCUUCUAUGGUGUUGUGCUUGAUGGGCCUGGAGGUUCUGUGCCAACAGUGACAGAGUAUAUGGUAAAUGGUUCUCUCAGAAAUGCCUUGCAGAAGAAUAAGAAGAAA